AUUGAACGCUAGCAGGAUGCUUUACACAUGAAAGUAGCACGAGUGGCGGCCGGGUGAGUAAUAUAUAGAAACGUGCCCAGUAGAGGGGGCUAACUACUACCAAGAGUGGCUAAUACCGCAUACUAUUGGAGCGGCCGAUAUCGGAUUGGCUAGUUGGUGGGGUAAAGGCUCACCAAGGCAACGAUCCGUCGCUGGUUUGAGAGGACGACCAGCCACACUGGGACUGAGACACGGCCCAGACUCCUACGGGAGGCAGCAGUGGGGAAUUUUGGACAAUGGGGGAAACCCUGAUCCAGCCAUCCCGCGUGUAUGAGAAGGCCUUCGGGUUGUAAAGUACUUUUGGCAGAGAAGCGGUAUCUGCAGAAUAAGCACCGGCUAACUACGUGCCAGCAGCCGCGGUAAUAC
rnacentral:rRNA from 1 species